rnacentral:misc_RNA from 1 species
CAGCCGCGUAAUUCCAGCUCCAAUAGCGUAUAUUAAAGUUGUUGCAGUUAAAAAGCUCGUAGUUGAAUUUCGGGAUCAAUAUAUCGGUCGUGCCUUGGUACGUACUGGUAUCAUUGGUUUCUCCUUUCUGACGAACCAUGAUGUCAUUAAUUUGGUGUUAUGGGAAGUUAGGACUGUUACUUUGAAAAAAUUAGAGUGUUUAAAGCAGGCUUUAGCUUGAAUACAUUAGCAUGGAAUAAUGAAAUAGGACGUUCGAACCUAUUUUGUUGGUUUCUAGGAUCAACGUAAUGAUUAAUAGGGAUAGUUGGGGGCAUUAGUAUUCAAUUGUCAGAGGUGAAAUUCUUGGAUUUAUUGAAGACUAACUACUGCGAAAGCAUUUGCCAAGGAUGUUUUCAUUAAUCAAGAACGAAAGUUAGGGGAUCGAAGACGAUCAGAUACCGUCGUAGUCUUAACCAUAAACUAUGCCGACUAGGGAUCGGAUGAUGUUAAUUUUUUAAUGACUCAUUCGGCGCCUUACG